UGGGGAAUUUUGGACAAUGGGCGAAAGCCUGAUCCAGCCAUGCCGCGUGAGUGAAGAAGGCCUUCGGGUUGUAAAGCUCUUUUAGUCGGAAAGAAAGAGUUGCAAUGAAUAAUUGUGAUUUAUGACGGUACCGACAGAAAAAGCACCGGCUAACUACGUGCCAGCAGCCGCGGUAAUACGUAGGGUGCGAGCGUUAAUCGGAAUUACUGGGCGUAAAGGGUGCGCAGGCGGUCUUGCAAGUCAGAUGUGAAAGCCCCGGGCUUAACCUGGGAAUUGCGUUUGAAACUACGAGACUAGAGUGCAGCAGAGGGGAGUGGAAUUCCAUGUGUAGCAGUGAAAUGCGUAGAGAUGUGGAAGAACACCGAUGGCGAAGGCAGCUCCCUGGGUUGACACUGACGCUCAUGCACGAAAGCGUGGGGAGCAAACA
rnacentral:rRNA from 1 species